CAAACCAAACCAAGAAAAUUACUCAUGAUUCUUUAAUAUUUAGAAUUCUCUUUUCUGUGUGGGCAUAAAGCUAUCUACUCCAUAUAUAUCUUUUUGUCUUUCUGCCUCCUUGCUGGGGAAAACCUUUUAGACAAGGGCCAAAACUAGAAUUAUUCCCCAGGAAUCUGAAAUAGGGGUAGAAUUCAAAGCAGUAGUGAAUCUAGUUCAUUUAUUGAGAAUGUCAGAAGAACAAAGCCAGAGAAGACUUUGAUAUUAGGUAAAACACAGCCUAGUGAUAACCAGACAGCAUCUGUGAUAGAUUCGCUAUUAUGAUUUAUCAAACAUAUUAAAGAAGCACACUACAUUGAAGUUCACUUGAAAGAUGAAUGCCCUCUAUCCAAAAUAAAAAUCCCAGGAAGAACACUCCAGUGAAAGGGACCACAGAGUUCUUGUUCCAGCUGAGGAUGCCAUUCUUCUCUUAAUCAACUGGACUCACAAAGGCCAUCCAUCACAUGUACACAAUCACUGAGAGGUCCUGUACUCCUGUAGCUAUCACAAAACUCUGGUUCUGUGCUCUGCAAGGUUUCAAGGAAAAGAGGAAAAAAUGAAGGAAAAAAGACAAUCAUAACUGUGCAUGUGAAUGUUAUGAAUUCACUCAACAUGGGAAAAAAAACAUAAAAAAGCAGAACUUAGAAAGAAGAAUCCAACAAUAUGUUGCUUACAAGAAUCAUAUUUGAAACAACAGAUUCCUACAUAAAUAAAAUAAGAGACUGGAACAAAAUCUGUUAUGCUUCAGUUGGACUAAAAAAAAGCAAGGAUCGCAAUCAUAAUCUCAGACAAGGCAACAGCGAAAAAUAGACUUGAUUAAAAAUAUAAACAAAGAAACUUCAUUGCUUGAAGGCACUAUAUACAAUGAAUCAGUAUCAAUAUUUAACAUCUAUGCACAAAAUUACAUAAAUCUAAAUACUUAAUGGAAAAGUUUAAUGAAUUUCAGAGAUAGGUAGUAAAAUCAUAAUAGUAAAGUAACUCAAUGUACCUCUUACAAAUCUAAAUAAAGCUAAUAAAAAAAUAAACAGAGAGCAGCAAAGAUCCUGUAGAGAGCAGUUCAAAAGAAAUAUAAGUAGAUAAUAAGGCUGUUCAGUGGAUAUAACCAUUUUGCAAUAUAGCUAAAUGAUAUCACUAGAAAAACAAAUAACAUCAGUAGUUCUGCAGUCAUAGAAAUGAAACUGGGGAUACAACAAGCACCAGAAUUCUAUCUGAGACAUGAUCCUCAGAGUAUAAGUUGCCCUGAUUCUAUGUGCUCCCUAUAUGUGUGAUAGUUCUCAAAUAUAUAUAUAUUCCUUCUCCCACUAAAUGUAUGGAAAUCAUUAGGACAGUGUAUUAUUCUAUGUAUGGGGGAAAUUUUUGUUUUGGUUUUUUGGUGGUUAAUUAAAAUAUCCUUUGUUUCAUUGGGCCCAGACUCAAAACACUUGAGUUCAAAUUCAGUCUCGGACUUAUUAGUUAAUUAGGCAAAUCACAUUAACCUCUGUUUCAGUUUCCUCAACUGUAAAAUGGGGAUAAAUAUAGCAUUCAUUUUGAAAAUUUAUUAUGAAGGAUCAAAUGAGAUAAUAUUUGCAAAAGUAAUUAGCACAGUCCUUGAUAAAGUGUUUCAUGUUUAAAUGUCUAUUCUCUUCCCUUCUUUCCCUUUGAACUAAUAUGUUCUUAACUGAAUGGAUGCCCAACAGUUG